rnacentral:rRNA from 1 species
GACGAACGCUGGCGGCGUGCUUAACACAUGCAAGUCGAGCGGUAAGGCCCCUUCGGGGUACGACGAGCGGCGAACGGGUGAGUAACACGUGGGUGACCUGCCCUCCAGCUCUGGGAGUAAGCCUGGGAAACGUAGGGUCGUAAUACCGGAUAUGACUCCAUGACGCAUGUCGUGGGGUGGAAAGCCUUGUGCGGCUGGGGAGUGGGCCCGCGGCCUAUCAGCUUGUUGGUGGGGUGAUGGCCUACCAAGGCGACGACGGGUAGCCGGCCUGAGAGGGCGACCGGCCACACUGGGACUGAGACACGGCCCAGACUCCUACGGGAGGCAGCAGUGGGGAAUCUUGCGCAAUGGGCGAAAGCCUGACGCAGCGACGCCGCGUGAGGGAUGACGGCCU